AGUGAACGCUGGCGGUAGGCCUAACACAUGCAAGUCGAACGGCAGCACAGUAAGAGCUUGCUCUUACGGGUGGCGAGUGGCGGACGGGUGAGGAAUACAUCGGAAUCUACUUUUUCGUGGGGGAUAACGUGGGGAAACUUACGCUAAUACCGCAUACGACCUACGGCUGAAAGCAGGGGAUCUUCGGACCUUGCGCGAUUGAAUGAGCCGAUGUCGGAUUAGCUAGUUGGCGGGGUAAAGGCCCACCAAGGCGACGAUCCGUAGCUGGUCUGAGAGGAUGAUCAGCCACACUGGAACUGAGACACGGUCCAGACUCCUACGGGAGGCAGCAGUGGGGAAUAUUGGACAAUGGGCGCAAGCCUGAUCCAGCCAUACCGCGUGGGUGAAGAAGGCCUUCGGAUUGUAAAGCCCUUUUGUUGGGAAAGAAAAGCAGCAGGUUAAUACCCCGCUGUUCUGACGGUACCCAAAGAGUAAGCACCGGCUAACUUCGUG
rnacentral:rRNA from 1 species